GACAGAGGGUGCAAACGUUGUUCGGAAUUACUGGGCGUAAAGCGCGUGUAGGCGGCCCUGCAAGUCGGAUGUGAAAUCCCACGGCUCAACCGUGGAAGUGCAUUCGAAACUGCGGAGCUAGAGUCCUGGAGAGGAAGGUGGAAUGCUUGGUGUAGAGGUGAAAUUCGUAGAUAUCAAGCGGAACACCGGUGGCGAAGGCGGC
rnacentral:rRNA from 1 species